AGCCAAGGCCGAGGCUGAUUUUCUUGUUAUGGAGCAAAGAGUCAGGAAUUUACUUAAAAAAAUCGGUAGGGAUCCAGCCAGCAUAUCCAAGGCAAACAUAAAGAACUUCUCAAAAAAUGCAAGGAAGCUUGCUGUUUGCAGAUAUCGCCUCAUUGAGGAGGAGUUCAACUCUCCUGUCCAAUCAGAGUUACAGAAGUAUCUGACAGAUGAGGGUCAUGGGACUUUGCAAGAAGCCAACUCUGUUAAAGUACUUCCUGAAAAGUAAGUUUAUCAAAG
rnacentral:misc_RNA from 1 species